rnacentral:rRNA from 1 species
UACGUAGGGGGCUAGCGUUGUCCGGAAUCAUUGGGCGUAAAGAGCGUGUAGGCGGUCCGGUAAGUCCGUUGUGAAAGUCAGGGGCUCAACCCUUGAAUGCCGGCGGAUACUGUCGGGCUAGAGUACGGAAGAGGCGAGUGGAAUUCCCGGUGUAGCGGUGAAAUGCGUAGAUAUUGGGAGGAACACCAGUGGCGAAGGCGGCUACCUGGACCGGUUCUGACGCUGAGGCGCGAAAGCGUGGGUAGCAAACAGG